rnacentral:rRNA from 1 species
AGUGAACGCUGGCGGUAGGCCUAACACAUGCAAGUCGAACGGCAGCACAGUAAGAGCUUGCUCUUACGGGUGGCGAGUGGCGGACGGGUGAGGAAUACAUCGGAAUCUACUUUUUCGUGGGGGAUAACGUAGGGAAACUUACGCUAAUACCGCAUACGACCUACGGGUGAAAGCAGGGGAUCUUCGGACCUUGCGCGAUUGAAUGAGCCGAUGUCGGAUUAGCUAGUUGGCGGGGUAAAGGCCCACCAAGGCGACGAUCCGUAGCUGGUCUGAGAGGAUGAUCAGCCACCCUGGAGCUGAGACACGAUCCAGACUCCUACGGGAGGCAGCAGUGGGGAAUAUUGGACAAUGGGCGCAAGCCUGAUCCAGCCAUACCGCGUGUGUGAAAGAGGCCUUCGGGUUGUAAAGCCCUUUUGUUGGGAAAGAAAAGCAGCAGGUUAAUACCCCGCUGUUCUGACGGUACCCAAAGAAUAAGCACCGGCUAACUUCGUG